rnacentral:rRNA from 1 species
CAGCAGCCGCGGUAAUACGUAGGGUGCAAGCGUUAAUCGGAAUUACUGGGCGUAAAGCGCGCGUAGGUGGUUCGCCAAGUUGGAUGUGAAAUCCCCGGGCUCAACCUGGGAACUGCAUCCAAAACUGGCGAGCUAGAGUAUGGUAGAGGGUGGUGGAAUUUCCUGUGUAGCGGUGAAAUGCGUAGAUAUAGGAAGGAACAUCAGUGGCGAAGGCGACCACCUGGACUGAUACUGACACUGAGGUGCGAAAGCGUGGGGAGCAAACAGGAUUAGAUACCCCUGUAGUCCCUGUCUCUUAUAA